AAUAAAUACAGUUUUUUACUAUUUACGUUCAACGUUUGACCAUUCGUCUUAUUUGAAAACUUUUUAUGAUUAGUAUUUUUAUUGCUAUUAGAUGAUAAAAUAUGAAUAGUACUUUAUGUGUGACUAAAUAUUUUUAAUUUUUUCACAAAUUUUUUAAAUAAAACGGAUGGUGAAAUGUUAGGCACAGAUAUCCACGGCUGUAUUUAUU
rfam:Oryza sativa (indica cultivar-group) chromosome 1, whole genome shotgun sequence.